rnacentral:rRNA from 1 species
GAUGAACGCUGACAGAAUGCUUAACACAUCAGCAAUUGAUUGGUGGCGGACGGGUGAGUAACGCGUAAAGAACUUGCCUCACAGCUAGGGACAACAUUUGGAAACGAAUGCUAAUACCUAAUCCUGUGAGAGAGCUUUGCGUCCCAUGAGCUCGUUGGAGAGGUAACGGCUCACCAAGGCGAUGAUGGGUAGCCGGCCUGAGAGGGUGAUCGGGCACAAACGGCCUGAGACACGGGCCUUAGGCCUUCGGGAGGCAGCAGUGGGGAAUAUUGGACAAUGGACCAAAGUCUGAUCCAGCAAUUCGGGGUGCACAAUAAAGUUUUCGGAAUGUAAAGGGCUUUCAGUUGGGAAGCGGUACCAACAGAAGAAGUGACGGCUAAAUACGUGCCAGCAGCCGCGGUAAUAC